rnacentral:lncRNA from 1 species
CGAAUGGUGCUGUGACAGUGAAAAUACAUAUGGUAUGUUGUAUCUGAACAGGUUAGCUUACGAGCUAAAGUUACUUAGCACAGAUGAAAGUUAAAACAAAGACGUUUAUCAAACUGUUAAAGCACACAAACCAUCGUCAUAUGAGAAAUCCGACGCUAUGACUCUCCACAAGUUGUCCUUCAGGUCGUUAUCUUUGUAAUAUUUGUGUUUUUUAUCAAAAAUCACUCUGUUCUCCGACACGUAAACAAUCAGCCGGUCGGCCAUGUUGGAUAUACCA